rnacentral:rRNA from 1 species
UAAAACAUCGACAUAAAAACUUAACACAUGCAAGUCGGACGAUGAAGAGAGCUUGCUCUUGGAUUAGUGGCGAACGGGUGAGUAACACGUGAGUAACCUGCCCUUCACUCUGGGAUAAGCCUUGGAAACGGGGUCUAAUACUGGAUAUUACUGGAGCCUGCCUGGGUUCUGGCGGAAAGCUUUACGUGGUGGAGGAUGGACUCGCGGCCUAUCAGCUUGUUGGUGAGGUAGUGGCUCACCAAGGCGACGACGGGUAGCCGGCCUGAGAGGGUGACCGGCCACACUGGGACUGAGACACGGCCCAACUCCUACGGGAGGCAGCAGUGGGGAAUAUUGCACAAUGGGCGAAAGCCUGAUGCAGCGACGCCGCGUGAGGGAUGAAGGCCUUCGGGUUGUAAACCUCUUUCAUCGCCGAAGAAGCGAGAGUGACGGUAGGCGAAGAAGAAGCACCGGCUAACUACGUGCCAGCAGCCGCGGUAAUACGUAGGGUGCGAGCGUUGUCCGGAAUUAUUGGGCGUAAAGAGCUUGUAGGCGGUUUGUCGCGUCUGCUGUGAAAAUCUGGGGCUUAACUCCGGACGUGCAGUGGGUACGGGCAGACUAGAGUGUGGUAGGGGAGACUGGAAUUCCUGGUGUAGCGGAAAUGCGCAGAUAUCAGGAGGAACACCGAUGGCGAGGCAGGUCUCUGGGCCAUAACUGACGCUGAGAAGCGAAAGCAUGGGUAGCGAACAGGAUUAGAUACCCUGGUAGUCCAUGCCGUAAACGUUGGGCGCUAGGUGUGGGGCUCAUUCCACGAGUUCCGUGCCGCAGCUAACGCAUUAAGCGCCCCGCCUGGGGAGUACGGCCGCAAGGCUAAAACUCAAAGGAAUUGACGGGGGCCCGCACAAGCGGCGGAGCAUGCGGAUUAAUUCGAUGCAACGCGAAGAACCUUACCAAGGCUUGACAUACACCGGAAACGGCCAGAGA